UUGCAUACCGGCAAUGAUGUCUGCCCUGAACCGCUGCCCGCGCAGCUGAUGACGUCUGUUUAAUG
rnacentral:ncRNA from 2 species